AUGGCCGACGCGGGUCGACGUGUAGUAUCUGUUCAGAUCAGCUUAAUAUCUGAUACGAAUUGUAUUUGGACCCAAGAUAUAAAACUUAUUUACGCAAGUUGGUGGAGUGCUUGAAGCCUGCUUCACAUCCGCUGCAGGAUGAGGUAUUGGACCCGGUAUUGCACAAUCUUGGGGAUCGACCCGCGGGUU